rnacentral:misc_RNA from 1 species
AAAGAUCGCAGCCUGCGGCAGCUCCUACAGGAAUUGGCAUCGUGUUCCGACGAUCUGUAGGAGCUGCCGCAGGCUGCGAUCUUU